rnacentral:rRNA from 1 species
UACGAAGGGGGCUAGCGUUGCUCGGAAUUACUGGGCGUAAAGGGCGCGUAGGCGGAUAGUUUAGUCAGAGGUGAAAGCCCAGGGCUCAACCUUGGAAUUGCCUUUGAUACUGGCUGUCUUGAGUUCGGGAGAGGUGAGUGGAAUGCCGGGUGUAGAGGUGAAAUUCGUAGAUAUUCGGCGGAACACCAGUGGCGAAGGCGACUCACUGGCCCGAUACUGACGCUGAGGCGCGAAAGCGUGGGGAGCAAACAGG